GGGAGUGUAACUCAGUUGGUAGAGUGCUUGCCUACCAUGCUGGAAGUCCUGGGUUCAGUCCUCAACACUGCCA
rnacentral:tRNA from 1 species